rnacentral:rRNA from 1 species
UAGAACUGCAUCCAAAACUAUUUAGCUAGAGUGUGGGAGAGGAAGAUGGAAUUAGUUGUGUAGGGGUAAAAUCCGUAGAGAUAACUAGGAAUACCAAAAGCGAAGGCAAUCUUCUGGAACAUUACUGACGCUGAGGCGCGAAAGCGUGGGGAGCAAACAGGAUUAGAUACCCUGGUAGUCCACGCCCUAAACGAUGAAUGUUAGUCGUCGGGUAGCUAGUCCAUUCGGUGAUGCAGCUAACGCAUUAAACAUUCCGCCUGGGGAGUACGGUCGCAAGAUUAAAACUCAAAGGAAUAGACGGGGACCCGCACAAGUGGUGGAGCAUGUGGUUUAAUUCGAAGAUACGCGAAGAACCUUACCUAGCCUUGACAUAUUUAAGAACUCCGUAGAGAUACAGAGGUGCCUUCGGGAGCUUUCUUACAGGUGCUGCACGGCUGUCGUCAGCUCGUGUCGUGAGAUGUUGGGUUAAGUCCCGCAACGAGCGCAACCCUCGUCACUAGUUACUAACGGUUCGGCCGAGGACUCUAGUGAGACUGCCUUCGUAAGGAGGAGGAAGGUGAGGACGACGUCAAGUCAUCAUGGCCCUUACGGCUAGGGCAACACACGUGCUACAAUGGCCAGGACGGUGAGACGCGAUACCGUGAGGUGGAGCAGAUCUAUAAACCUGGUCUCAGUUCGGAUUGUAGUCUGCAACUCGACUACAUGAAGCUGGAAUCACUAGUAAUCGUAGAUCAGCUAUGCUACGGUGAAUACGUUCCCGGGUCUUGUACUCACCGCCCGUCACACCAUGGGAGUUGAUUUCACCCGAAAUUGGGAAGCUAACCUUCGGGAGGCUACCACUUACGGUGGAAUUAGCGACUGGGGUGAAGUCGUAACAAGGUAACC